rnacentral:rRNA from 1 species
UACAGAGGUCUCAAGCGUUGUUCGGAUUCAUUGGGCGUAAAGGGUGCGUAGGCGGCGCGGUAAGUCGGGUGUGAAAUCUCGGAGCUUAACUCCGAAACUGCAUUCGAUACUGCCGUGCUUGAGGACUGGAGAGGAGACGUGGAAUUUACGGUGAGCGGUGAAAUGCGUAGAUAUCGUAAGGAAGACCAGGUGGCGAAGGCGGGUCUCUGGACAGUUCCUG